rnacentral:rRNA from 1 species
UACGUAGGGUGCAAGCGUUAAUCGGAAUUACUGGGCGUAAAGCGUGCGCAGGCGGCUUUGCAAGACAGAUGUGAAAUCCCCGGGCUCAACCUGGGAACUGCAUUUGUGACUGCAUGGCUAGAGUGCGGCAGAGGGGGGUGGAAUUCCACGUGUAGCAGUGAAAUGCGUAGAGAUGUGGAGGAACACCGAUGGCGAAGGCAGCCCCCUGGGUUAACACUGACGCUCAGGCACGAAAGCGUGGGGAGCAAACAGG